UGCGCUGCCCUCCGCCCGCCUGGUCCACGCCGCGCUCCUCGGCUCCCUCCCGCGCUUGCUGGGCACCCAGGCCAGUCCCAGGGGCCCGAAAGCCAGGGACCCGGAUGGGACCCUCCAGAAGCCCUGAUGGGGCAGGCCUGCCAGAAGACAGAAGACACGUGAAAGGAGCUGUUAAAAAAGGACGCUAAGGUUUGGUGUGGAAAAAUUAUGACUGCUUUUGGGCCAGAGAGUGAAGGAGAGGAAGGGAAGAAAAUAAAAGAAGAAAGGAACAAGGAUUAAGAGGACCUGCCAUGUGCCAGAAUAACUUUGGUGUGUUCCCUUGCUAUUUGUGGAAGAGUAAACAGAGGAUGAGACGGCUGGAUGGCAUCACCGACUCGAUGGACGUGAGUUUGAGUGAACUCCGGGAGUUGGUGAUGGACAGGGAGGCCUGGCGUGCUGCGAUUCAUGGGGUCGCAAAGAGUCGGACACGACUGAGCGACUGAACUGAACUGACUGAACUGAAACACAGGUUAAUCACUGUAAGAAGCUGAGAAAAAAGAUUAAGUUAGCAUGACUAAAGAGCAGUUUUUCCCAAAGUUUAAACUGGCAAAGCAGAAUAGUCACAGCAAAUUCUCUGUAAGAUGGGCGGAGUUAACUGAAAUUGAAAUAAACAUCACAUCACACAUCUCUUUUGAAUUCUG
rnacentral:lncRNA from 1 species